AGCAUAUCAAUAAGCGGAGGAAAAGAAACCAACAGGGAUUGCCUCAGUAACGGCGAGUGAAGCGGCAACAGCUCAAAUUUGAAAUCUGGGUCUUUCAGGCUCCGAGUUGUAAUUUGUAGAGGGAUCUUCGGGUGUGGUCCGGCCUAAGUUUCAUGGAACUGAACAUCAUAGAGGGUGAGAAUCCCGUAUGCGGCCGGGUGCCUAUAUCCAUGUGAAGUCUCUUCGACGAGUCGAGUUGUUUGGGAAUGCAGCUCAAAAUGGGUGGUAAAUUUCAUCUAAAGCUAAAUACCGGCGAGAGACCGAUAGCGCACAAGUAGAGUGAUCGAAAGAUGAAAAGCACUUUGGAAAGAGAGUUAAAAAGUACGUGAAAUUGUUGAAAGGGAAGCGCUUGCAAUCAGACUUGCCUUCAGCUUAUCAUCCGGUGUUCUCACCGGUGCANUAGGUUGUUGUCAGGCCAGCAUCGGUUUUGGCGGNUGGAUAAAGGCCUUGGGAAUGUGGCCCCUCUCGGGGGGUGUUAUAGCCCAGGGUGCAAUGCAGCCAGCUGGGACCGAGGACCGCGCUUCGGCUAGGAUGC
rnacentral:rRNA from 1 species